rnacentral:rRNA from 1 species
UAGGGAAUUUUCGGCAAUGGGGGAACCCUGACCGAGCAACGCCGCGUGAAGGAAGAAGGAAUUCGUUCUGUAAACUUCUGUUAUAAAGGAAGAAAGACGGAUGGAGGAAAUGACAUCCGAGUGACGGUACUUUAUGAGAAAGCCACGGCUAACUACGUCGCC